rnacentral:rRNA from 1 species
CAAGUCGAGCGAGAAAGUGUAGCAAUACAUGAGUAAAGCGGCGCACGGGUGAGUAACACGUGGAUAACCUGCCUCAAAGUGGGGAAUAACACCGGGAAACCGGUGCUAAUACCGCAUAUUCUGACGAGAUCUGUGGAUUUUGUCAGGAAAGGAGCAAUUCGCUAUGAGAGGGGUCCGCGGCUGAUUAGCUAGUUGGUGAGGUAAUGGCUCACCAAGGCUUCGAUCAGUAGCCGGUCUGAGAGGACGGUCGGCCACACUGGAACUGAGACACGGUCCAGACUCCUACGGGAGGCAGCAGUGGGGAAUUUUUCGCAAUGGGGGAAACCCUGACGAAGCAAUGCCGCGUGGAUGAUGAAGUAUCUCGGUACGUAAAAUCCUUUCGACGGGGACGAAGCCGCAAGGUUGACGGUACCCGUAGAAGAAGCCCCGGCUAACUCCGUGCCAGCAGCCGCGGUAAUACGGGGGGGGCAAGCGUUGUUCGGAAUUACUGGGCGUAAAGGGUGCGUAGGCGGCUUUCUAAGUCGGAUGUGAAAACUCUGGGCUCAACCCAGAGCCUGCAUCUGAAACUGGAGAGCUAGGGUUUUGGAGGGGAAAGCGGAAUUCCAGGUGUAGCGGUGAAAUGCGUAGAUAUCUGGAGGAACACCGGUGGCGAAGGCGGCUUUCUGGACAAAUACCGACGCUGAGGCACGAAAGCUAGGGGAGCAAACAGGAUUAGAUACCCUGGUAGUCCUAGCCCUAAACUAUGGAUACUUGCUGUGGGGGGGAUUGAAGCCCCUUGUGGCGAAGCUAACGCAUUAAGUAUCCCGCCUG